CUCUUUCACAAACAAUUGAAAACCUAACCCAGUUUACACUCACCAUAAACUCAGAGGUUUAUUGCUUGGAGGGCCCUUAGCUCAGGCCAACUUUUCUCCUUCCUGAUGAGGCUUAGGCAGUCUUAAGCCAGGUAGGGGCAGCAGAGUGCAGCUGGUUGCUAGGGAACUAACAGCCCAGCAUCUAUUUACUAGUAAAGAUUUAGGAAAGGGGGCCGGGUGCGGUGGCUCAUGCCUGUAAUCCCAGC
rnacentral:lncRNA from 1 species